UAAAAGUUUUAUAUUAUUAGUUCUUGUUUUAGAUUACUCGACACCGAAAAUGAUUUAUCAAAAAAAAAAUAUAAAAUCCCACGAUACUAAGAAAUCUGGAUUUUUUGGGGGUAGGUGUACACUAAUAUUGAAGGUAAUAGAUCAAAUUUGGUGCAGACUUCGUGGGCUCUCUUAUCUCUCAUUAAUGCCGGACAGGGGGAGAUCGAUCCGUUGCCCAUACACCGUGGCAUGAGACUGCUGAUAAACUCACAAAUGGAAGAUGGUGACUUUCCUCAACAGGAGAUCACAGGAGUAUUCAUGAAGAAUUGCACCCUCAACUAUUCGUCCUAUCGGAAUAUCUUCCCGAUCUGGGCUCUCGGUGAAUAUCGUCGACGCUUUCUUCAAACUUAAUUACUCAAUAAACUAUCACUAUUACUAUUAUUGUUAUUGCUAUUAUUAUUAUGGUUAAAUACAAAAAUACCCAU